UACAGGGGGGUGCGAGCGUUGUCCGGAAUCACUGGGCGUAAAGGGCGCGUAGGUGGCGUCGCAAGUCGAUGGUGAAAGCUCGGCGCUCAACGCCGAGUCGGCCCUUGAUACUGCGAGGCUGGAGCACUGUAGAGGCAGAUGGAAUUCCGGGUGUAGCGGUGGAAUGCGUAGAGAUCCGGAAGAACACCGGUGGCGAAGGCGGUCUGCUGGGCAGUAGCUGACACUGAGGCGCGACAGCGUGGGGGAGCAAACAGG
rnacentral:rRNA from 1 species